UACGGAAGGUCCAGGCGUUAUCCGGAUUUACUGGGUGUAAAGGGUGCGUAGGUGGCAAGGUAAGUCAGAUGUGAAAACUAUGGGCUCAACCCAUAGACUGCAUUUGAAACUGCCAGGCUAGAGUGCAGGAGAGGAAAGUGGAAUUCCUAGUGUAGCGGUGAAAUGCGUAGAUAUUAGGAGGAACACCAGUGGCGAAGGCGGCUUUCUGGACUGUAACUGACACUGAGGCACGAAAGCGUGGGGAGCAAAC
rnacentral:rRNA from 1 species